rnacentral:rRNA from 1 species
UACAGAGGUCCCGAGCGUUGUUCGGAUUCACUGGGCGUAAAGGGUGCGUAGGUGGUGAGGUAAGUCGGAUGUGAAAUCUCUGAGCCCAACUCAGAAACUGCAUUGGAAACUACCUUGCUAGAGGAUUGGAGGGGGGACUGGAAUUCUCGGUGUAGCAGUGAAAUGCGUAGAUAUCGAGAGGAACACCAGUGGCGAAGGCGAGUCCCUGGACAAUUCCUGACACUGAGGCACGAAAGCUAGGGGAGCAAACAGG